ensembl:lncRNA
CACAGGUUGUUCCAGUCAUUUUGUCCUUAGCAUACCUGAACAUGGCAAAUCCAAGAGACUUAUUCCUUGAUCUUUUUGGAGGUUGAGGUAUAGCUUGUAGUUCCCCAGACCCUUUUCCUUGCCCUUCAUAAAGACAAGUAUGACAUUUACCUUUUUCCAGUCGUCAUGAGACUCUCAUGGCAGCAGGAGAAGAAAGCUUUACAGUUGUAUUGUCUCCUACUCAUACAUCCCACGUGGUCCCAUGGAUCUGAGAACGUUUGCUUAACUGGUCCCUAACUCAGUCUUCUGCAGCACAGGUGAUGCUUUGUGCUCUGGGAUCUCACUGUUUGGCUUAGGAACCUGGGAAGCCAGAGGACAUGCCAUGCCAGCAGUGCCCAAGGCAGGAAAGGCACAAAAAAACACUUUUGCAUAAGAAGCUAUUAAGCACGUCAGACAGGAAGAAAUAGCUGCAUUGCAACAGUCCCAGAAGGGAGCCACAAACCAGAUGUCCAUGAGUUCCAUGUAGAUUGAAAUGUGGAUCUGCCAGCCACAGGAGCCAGAAACUGGAUUGCAGUCUAGGCUACACACCUUGUCAUGCACUAACACAUGCCUCCUGAAUUAGCUGGAAUGCAGAGCUUUGGGGUGCACCCUGUCAUCAUGAGAUGGCCUCAAGCAACAGCAGACCUACUCUCCUGAAGCUGUAUUGCAGCAAUAAUGCCGUGUCUUGAGGAGCAGGAUCUGGCUGGAUUGCUCAUGCAGAAGGGAAUGAUGAAUCAAUUGGGCAAGUGUGAAGGUUGGCAUACAUUGGGUUGCGACAUUAAUGCAAUCUCUUGGCAUAAUUUUCCAGUCCAGUUCCAGGAUUUGGACUUCUCCAGGUCAAGGGGGAGAAGGUGGGAGAGCAGCCUGCCCCCACCCCCAGAGCUCUGCCAUCCCCAUUUCCCUGCAGUGCUUUGUUCUUCCCUAGUGGAGACACCAUGACCCCCCAUAGCAGGGUAUGGGGGAAGAUGAAGGAUGCCACGUUCCAGCAGGAGAAACCUCACUUAUCAGCAGCACAUGCUUCACAGCACAGAGCUCAAAGGGAAACAGGACAAGGGUGGAUAGCGAUAGGACAAGGGGG